rnacentral:rRNA from 1 species
AACGAACGCUGGCGGCAGGCCUAACACAUGCAAGUCGAGCGCCCUCGCAAGAGGGAGCGGCGGACGGGUGAGUAACGCGUGGGAAUUUUCCUCAAGGUACGGAACAACUCAGGGAAACUUGGGCUAAUACCGUAUGAUGUCUAGCGACCAAAGAUUUAUCGCCUUGGGAUAAGCCCGCGUCAGAUUAGGUAGUUGGUGGGGUAACGGCCUACCAAGCCUGCGAUCUGUAGCUGGUCUGAGAGGACGAUCAGCCACACUGGGACUGAGACACGGCCCAGACUCCUACGGGAGGCAGCAGUGGGGAAUCUUGCGCAAUGGGCGAAAGCCUGACGCAGCCAUGCCGCGUGAAUGAUGAAGGUCUUAGGAUUGUAAAGUUCUUUCGCCCGUGACGAUGAUGACGGUAACGGGAGAAGAAGCCCCGGCUAACUUCGUGCCAGCAGCCGC